AUGAAUAAAUUUUCAAAGAACAGCGGCAAAAGAGACCUCUGGGUGUGCUCCAGCACGGUGGCACAGCGCGGGGACCCGAGCUGGCUCCGCCAAGGGGACCCCAGCGCCAAGCCGGGGGCAAGGAACCGGGCAAAGUUUUGGGGCAGGGCUGCCCCCAGCUCCCCAAAUCCUUCAGCUCCAGCGGCUGCCGGUCGAAAACCCCAUAAAUCCUCCCCCUUUUCCUCCGCUUGCAACCCGGAGCCUGGCUGCUGCUGCUCCCCCCCCCCGGCCUCGGAGCUCCUCCGGCAGCCUCAGGGCUGCCCCCCGUUCCCCGGCAGGUCCCGUACCGUCUCCCGGAGAGAUGGUCUCGAUCUCCACCCCCAUCUCGGCUCUCAGGAGCGGCUCUGGCGGCCCCUUUUUGGCUCGGCACGGCUCGGCUCGGCUCGACACUCUGAAAUUACUGGGCUGGAUGAAGAUCCCCAAACAGUGAAUGAAGAAGAGGCAUGAGCACACUUGAGUUCAGAAAUAAUGUGGACUGGGGAAGACCAAGCCAAAGAUGAUCUGCUGCAAGGGUUUCCAAAAAGAUCUGUGAGGCAUCUCUCUUCAGAUACUUCUGAAAUUGUCUCUUCAUCAUCCCUGAAGCAGAACAGCUCUACCAGUGAAAGCAACAGUGAAGAUAUUUGUGUAACCUGGCCAUCAGACACGUUGCCAUCAUACACCCCUCAUACUUGAAGCAAAAUUAGCUGCAGAGAGAGACCUGACCGUCCUCCUCAAUCAAUAUCCUCAACCAUGGUUUAACUGCUUGAAUAGAUACUAGAAUCCACUUGACUCAGAAGCAACCAAUUUUGAUAUACUUUAUGAAAUUUGCUUUCUAGUGCUCUUUCCAAAACAGAUGCUGCUAAGAGUUUGACUCUUUAUAAUGAGUUUCCAACCAGUUUCGAUACAGGGUUGUAUCUGGCUCAUACCGACCCGAAUCCCAUUACAAUAAUAAAUUAUUUUCUCAGUGCCUACAGAGUCUAAAUGACCUUUACAAAUUAUCAAGCUGGGAUAAAUACGUAUCUGCAAAAAUAUUAUCCUUUGUUCUUGUUCAAGUUACAAUGGGCUUUCCAAUGAGUGAUAUAACUGAAUGUGCACACUACAGCGAAGAGCAUGUAGCCGUGCAAGUUCCCAAGCUGUUUGAUGCAUUUUGUGCAGGUGAUAAAAAUAUGGCUCCAAAUUUACUUCAUCGUGUGAAAAUAGAAGAUACUAUAAGAGAUUUCUUUAAAAGCAAACAAAUGUAAUGCCUGUGAAAGAAAAAGGCUGGCAAUUUGGAAGCCGAAUGCUGACUUACAGAUGGAAAGACCUAUUAGAUCAUUCGUUUCCUCUCUUUGCCAAGACAGGAACAGUUCCUAAAGAACAUUUCCUACUCUUCUGCCUAGUCUAAUUUUAAUAACGUAAGUACUGGAGUUUCUAUCACUUUCCUUAAGAUUCUCUUCCAGACAAACACAGCUUAAGCUCAGCAAAUCCUCCUUUUUAAGAACAGCGUGGAGACUGGCAUAUACAGACAGGGGGUAUUAAGCCACAAAACUGGAUUGAGACGGGGCGUUCAGUGCUGGGAGGGGUGUGGGUAGCUGAAGAACGAGCUGUCCGUGGGCUGAUCAUUGAUCAACGUGCUAGCUGUAACAGGCACACGUGUGAUGCCUACGCAGCCACUCCUUGGCAUUCAUCUGCCCAUAACCACGGCCUAGCUGGGUACAUCAGCUAGACUCAUAACGCAAGAUUUAUUGUUCUAUUUUAGGUGCUUCGGGAUGGGAUGAAUCAUGCCUUGAAAGUGGCUGUUUCUCACUGCUGGCUUUGGAGAGAAUCAGUAAGCAGGGUGAGAUGUAGACAACCAUGGCGUGUAUGCCUAGGGCUGUGUUACAGAGCUGAGGCUCAGCUUGGCUGCCCCUUGGGAGCUUGGGUGCUGCCUUCACGUAGGCACAUUCACUGAGGCACAUUCAUUUGGAAGAUGGUUGCCACCCCUACAAUUAAAAGUGGGAUAAAUCUCAUUCUCUGUGAUCAUGUUUGCAUAGCCACCCUCUGAGUGCUUGCCUUCCUUAUUCCUCUCCUGUCUUGCUUUAGCGUUGUGAAACGCAGAAAAGAUUGAGCCCAAUGGUCUUGCUGGGAGCAAGAGUAAAGCGACCUUCCACAAAAGUCUGGUUCUCUUCCCCCACUGCAGUGAACUCUGAGUCUCACUCUAAACCACAAAAGGGAAAGCUUGGGAGAUUAAUAAAUCCUUCACCAACUCUGCUAUCCCCAUCUUGCUGGACUGCUGCGUUAGAACUGAACGAGAUUUGACUUUAUACUACACAAGAGAAGGAGCUGCAAGAACCAUGAAGACCAGAAGAGCUGUCGACAACACUCCUGUGAGGCUGUGACGCUGAAAUGUGGAAAAAAAAGAGACACAGAGAGAAGCUGUGACUUCCCUGCCUGACCUCUUCUUAGUUUAUUCUUCCAGUUAGAAAACAGCCUGCCUAGAAAAGCCUGGGGCUUUGCCUUUACAUAAUAACUUACAUUAUUUAUUUAUUUAUUUUUAAUUAACCAAGCUUCUUACCAGUUUCCUUGAACGUAUUUAUUUAAACAAUACGUUUCAUUAGGUCUUCACCUGGCACAUACCUACAGGAGCUCGCCAGCAGAAGAGCGGGUUAAAUCUCCUUCCGAGAGCAGCAACAGCUCGCAGACAUAUCGCUGUCAGGAGGAUGCUGAUUUACAUAGCGUGAUCAGUAGAUCUGCUCUGACAGAUUACGUAUUUUGUAUCUUUAUUAACUGUGCAUCAUUUUCACAUUCUGUUCCAGUCAGCCUGUGACAGAUAACUAUUUUUUAAAAUCAGAUCUCAGGGAAAAGAAACGUCAAUGUGGAGAAAUAAAUACAUUACUCAAGCUUCUUGAAAGUAUUCGAGCUAAACGAUACAUCAACUUAAAUUGGUGAAAUCAUGGCGGGGAGCUUUAAAUAGAAAUGGUUUUGAAGUAGAAAUAUCACAAAGCAUUAGACAUUUUAUAAAUCUGAGUUAAAUUAGUAUUAGAAAAAUUAUUACUGUUAUGUUUUCAUUACAUAUGGAGCUGAAUCUGUCUUCCUUUGAAGUCACCAGGAAUAUUAACAUCAAUUUAAUUAACUUGAAGCAAGAUUUAGCCCAGAAGGAGUUAUUUUACCAUGAAUAAAGGAGAAAAUGAAGUCUGAAUCUCAGCUUUUCCAGCAAGGCACUCAACUCAGAUCCACAGAGAUACUGCGAUACCUAUCUCCCACUAGACAGGAAAUAGGCAAGUAAAUAUAUUUAAGAGCCUGGAUCUCAUUAUCCCUGAUUCAUAUUGAACACAAAAAUAUUCACCAUUUCCCCAGACAGGUGAAUAGUAGGUACAGCAGUGGGAGAAAACAGCUAUAUAAAAAGAGUAUUAUAAAAAAGGGUAGCUCAACCUCUGCUGCUAUGAGGGCUGGAUUUGGGUUUUCAAGGUUCAUUGAGAAGGAUGGGAACUUACUGGCACUAUUUAAUAGUUAUGUUUCAUCAACAUAACUACGUGUUAGCUAUUAACAUACCAUCAGAGGAUGGUGUUCAGUUCUGGACCUCGUUUGGUGCUUCCAACAACCGCCUUCUCUGAAGAGACACAGACCGGCUGGCUGGGAUCACUCUGCAGGACAGGGCCAGCAAAGGUGCCACCAGCCGAAAUAUUUGAUUUAAACCGUGGGUGACAUUCUGAUCUUAGUAAUACCAAUGUUAUUCAGUGGCAAAGUGGUGCUAAUAGGAUCAGAAUCUAGCUCAGUGUCCCUGUAAAGACUGUGGUCGCUCACUGGACUGUCUCAGAUUACUAGCAGAUUACUCCGGGUCUCAAAGAAAAACUAUAGCGUUGCCAGGACAGCUUUCAAUUACCAGACUUUAUUUUGGGUAUUAUAUAGGUUUCUGCAUGCCAAGGUGACACAGAAAUAUCACCGAAAUGUUUUACCUGUUUCCAGAAAAUUAUACUAAGUGAGUGAAAAGAAAACCCCCGGCCCCAAAUUGGAUCAUCUUUUUCAAAAAUGAGAUUGUGCCAAAAAAACCCCUCAUUGUCUCUUUCAUUUGUACUUUGUCUGUGCCUGGAACUUGGUUUGAUCCAGAUAUAAUUUAAAUUCUGUAAUCACAGCAUAGCUCUAGUUUUUUUCAUUUGUGUACUUCACAAGUCUUCCAUUACUCGGAAAGUUUUUUAAAGAUAGUCUCUGAAAUAUGAUCUGUCUCAAUUUACUUUCCUCAUGUAUGGUGUUCAGGGAGGCAAUUCCGUUCACACACAAGUUUCUGGCCCACCUUAUUCCCUCCCACUCAAAAACCCGCUAAAUGAACCAUGGCAGGGGGUUUUCCUUGAGAUCCUCAGAUGUUAUCUCAAUGGAGCCUGAGGUUCAAACUCAAUUGCAUACAGAAUAAACCUUGUAGGGUGUCCAAGCUCUGCAGAUUUCAAGGAACACAGACUCUUAGAGAUUCAAGGAAAAGGCACAGCAAACUCUUCAGAGGUUCUCUGUCUCCUUGGUGGGCCUCACCUUGAAUUCACUGAAGCUGCAUUACAAAGAUUCUUUGUAGUCAGGGAUCUCGGAUUCUCCUUUGCUUUGAACAGUGUAACUCCAUAGCUACUAAGGAUUUUUAGUGAUUUGCUUCAAUCUUUCUAGAACAAUUCGGCUGAAUAUGAGCCAGCAGUGUGCUCAGGUGGCCAAGAAGGCCAACG
rnacentral:lncRNA from 1 species